rnacentral:rRNA from 1 species
UACGAAGGGGGCUAGCGUUGCUCGGAAUCACUGGGCGUAAAGGGUGCGUAGGCGGUCGUGUAAGUCGGAUGUGAAAUCCCGGGGCUCAACCCCGGAACUGCAUUCGAUACUGCAUGGCUAGGGUACUGGAGAGGAAACUGGAAUUUACGGUGUAGCAGUGAAAUGCGUAGAUAUCGUAAGGAAGACCAGUGGCGAAGGCGAGUUUCUGGACAGUUACCGACGCUGAGGCACGAAGGCCAGGGGAGCAAACGGG